rnacentral:rRNA from 1 species
CGUAGGGUGCGAGCGUUGUCCGGAAUUACUGGGCGUAAAGAGUUCGUAGGCGGUUUGUCGCGUCGUUUGUGAAAACCCGGGGCUCAACUUCGGGCUUGCAGGCGAUACGGGCAGACUUGAGUGUUUCAGGGGAGACUGGAAUUCCUGGUGUAGCGGUGAAAUGCGCAGAUAUCAGGAGGAACACCGGUGGCGAAGGCGGGUCUCUGGGAAACAACUGACGCUGAGGAACGAAAGCGUGGGUAGCAAACAGGAUUAGAUACCCUGGUAGUCCACGCCGUAAACGGUGGGCGCUAGGUGUGGGUUCCUUCCACGGGAUCUGUGCCGUAGCUAACGCAUUAAGCCGCCCCGCCGUGGGGAGUACGGCCGCAAGGACU